AAAUGCAUUCAUUGGUUAUUCUGUAUUCAGUGUAUCUAAUGGUUACUGAAUGUCAAACUAAAAUGAUUGGUGUAUGGUGAGCUCACCCAAACUAGUUGGUAACACAGCCAGUCUCCUGGGCACCUGGUUUCUGCUGCUGGUAAGGUUUGUCUUUGUGUGUCUAAAGUUGAUCAUCUCUCCUAUCAGAUGCUGCUGUGGUUGUCUGUGUGUCUUUGACUGCUGUUGCUCUGCUGUUGGGGAUCCUAGUCAUCAUUAUCUACACGUGCAGGAAGAAGAGGACAAGAGGUUAGAGACUCUAUAAAACACUACCCACACAGAAGAUGCCUAUACAGAU
ensembl:lncRNA